CGGGUGAGUAAUGUAUGGGGAUCUGCCUGAUGGCGGGGGAUAACUACUGGAAACGGUAGCUAAUACCGCAUAAAUGUCUGCGGACCAAAGCGGGGGACCUCCGGGCCUCGCGCCAUCAGAUGAACCCAUAUGGGAUUAGCUAGUAGGUAAGGUAACGGCUUACCUAGGCGACGAUCCCUAGCUGGUCUGAGAGGAUGAUCAGCCACACUGGGACUGAGACACGGCCCAG
rnacentral:rRNA from 1 species